rnacentral:misc_RNA from 1 species
AUUUGUAGACCAGUAUGUAUGUGUGUGUGCAUGCAUGUGUAUUUGUGUGUGAAUGUGUGUGUGUGUGUAUGUGGGUGUGUUGUAGGAUCUCUGCACUGUUCCCUCAGCACCGAUUCCACACUCAUUGGCUUCCACCAACUCCAGUAUCCAGUAUGUAACUACAUCUGACAGCAUGAAUAGAACUGUUUGUAGAAUAGGAAUGAAGGGUGUGUAUGAGUGAGUGUAUAUAUAUACACACACACACACACAUAUAUAUAUUCAUAUAUAUAUGUGUGUAUGUAUGCAUAUAUAUAAAUGCAUGCGUGUGUCUCUUAGAGUGUAUAAGUACAAGUGCUUGCAUGUAAGUAUUUCAAAAAUGUAUAUAUAAACUGCAGAGCAAAACAAGUCACUUCCCACUCUCUAGAGUACCAUAGCUGACAGAUGCAUCACACACACACACACGUAUAGACAUCUCUCAUUGACACGCACACAUACACACACACACACACAUGUAAACUUCUUAAUCUAUGACUCUUUCACCCCUAUACCAUGUCUUAAAACAUCUUGAUUAUGAGGGACUUUAGCAACAAAACAAGAUGCAGAUAACAGACACACAUUUACAAUGAUUACUAAAGAAAGUCAUUCAACUCCUCAGUAUUUCCAUGUGGUAUGACAGAAGUGAAGAAUCUCAGGAUUGGAACUCAAAGGACAGAUUCUAGAAAAAUAACUAUACAUAGACUAAGAGAAUCUUCAGGAAAAUGAACUCGUCAAGGUCUUCAAUUUGUAGUUUGACCAGUAAAAAGCUAAAUGUUGUCACACUUUAUAAUCUCUCUCCUUAUGAUAAAAAAGGUCGAGACCGGGCUCAAGAAGCUGCCAGGAUACUUUUACUGAAUGCUCUCAAAAUGGAACCAAAUGUUCAUGAAAUAUUCUUUGCAGACACAAAACCAAAUCCUUUAUAUCAAGAAAUUGAUCAGACAAUUUUCUCACUAUCAAAUUUGUCCACAGCCAUCACUGCUGAUGUAAUCAGCAGACAUAAAGAUGAGUUUCGUUUCCACACGACCAUUCGACGGACUGAAGUGAAUAAGUGUUUAAAUGAAAUCUAUUCAGGGUUGGCUUGGAAAAAACUUGGUUUUUGCCUCUAUACACUUGUCUACCCACAAGUUGUAAAAGAAUCUUCCAGAAUAUGUUUCAAAGACUUUGUGGAUAAUGGUGGGAAUAAAUGGGCUGAAAAUUUGCUACAGUGGCUGAAGCAACCUGAGUGGACCCGACUUAUAAUGAAACGAAUCAUCACUGGACAGUGCAGUGAAGAACAAUACAACAUAGAGAUGAACAAUCUGUUUGUUAAAUUUCAUCUUCUCGACCCUGCCUACGCGAUACAAGCAUAUUGUUUUCUGAACCAGCAAAAAGCUUUACCUCAGGUCCAUCUUGAACUAGUGACCCGUAACUACUUGGGAGGGGCCUUUGACUGGACUCUGUUCAAAGAAGAGAUCAGCCGAGCAAUCCACAUCCCUUCUCCAUUUGACAUGUCAUCUCGGCUCAGCCUCGAUUUAAAUGAUGUCUUUUAUGGUGUUAAAGUCGAUGAGUUUAUUGUGACAGAAUGCCGAAAUAUUGGAGUGUGGAAUGGGAAAAGGCCCCAUAACCGUCAAGUGCUGCGUUUGAAGGACCGAUGUGUACUUAUGUAAUACAUUAAAUAAACAUUUGUAACAGAGUGGUUUAAAGAUUGGACAGCUGACACAAGAUUUAUUUCUGUGAGAUCAGUGCAGACCAAAUGUCUGGUAUUAUUGGAAUCAAGUGAAACACGUUCAGUUUAUAACAAUAUUUCAGUUGAGUUUUUAAGUUUUUUUUAACAUUUUAAGUAUUUCAUAAUUGGAAUUUUACAUUCAAAGUUCAAUAUUUAACAGCAGGAAUGACAGAGCAGUUACAGCAGAUCGUAAAAAUAAUCCAACCCUUGUCCAAUCUCCCAGAUAGAAAUGCCUGUAUGUAAAUAUUCUGCUAGUUCCAGCCGGGCUUGUAUUGACAUCAAUGUUGGAUAGUAGACAAUAUGUUGACCAAUUCCAGUCCUGAAACAUUAGUAACCAGAAAGAUUAUUAUUAACAACAGAAGUAGCAAUGGUAAAGUCUACAGAUGCCAGGCCACACAAGCGCUGAAGACAUUUUGCAGCUACCUAACAUCUAUUAUAUUACAAACAACAGCUUCCUCUGUUGACAACAGUUUGUCACACUGUGGAAUAGGGAAGAAGUAUGUACACAACAGCAAGAGAAAGGGAGAGAGAAAGAGAUUCAAAUGAAUGCUAUUGGCACAAAUGCACACCUCUAUCUAUUUACCUACCAUCUAUUAUUUUAAAGUGUUAAGAGGAUGAUAAGUGUGUUUGAGAGAGAGAGAGAGAUUCAACCAAGCAUUGUUGGCAUGCACAUGCACAUAUGCAGAUGACAAUUAGCUGUGUGUUUGAGAGUUGGGAUUAUGUGUACACACCAUUAGCAUUUGCAUGGUAUGUGUGUCCAUGUGCCAGUAGCAUCUGUUUGACCUUUCCUCGCUGUUUGCCAGCUGAUUUAACAUUCACCACCUUGGGACAAGCCAUUGUCAUCAGGAUUGAAUAAAGGCAUUACUAUCAUAAUUUUCUCAUUUGUAUAAAUAACAUUUAAAGUGCCAUAUUAAUCUUUAAUACUUGGUGGUUGCUUCGAAUUAAAUAUCCAAAGGGUCAGCUACUAUAAACACACAUCCUAGACCACAUCCACCCGAUUAGGAAAUCAUUACUGAUCAACACAAUCACUACCAGAGACAUACUGUGUCACUGCUGCUGCCGCCACCACCACUACCAACACUACUACAGCACUUUCUCCUCUUAACCAAACAACUCAUUGCAUCCACACAAAUCCGUCAGCCUCUCUCUUCUUUCUCUCACUACCACCACCGUCAUCAUCAUCUCUAAAUAGUUGAAACUGACUUAUAUUGUAUGUUAGAUGAUAGCAUGGCCAUGUGGUUAAGAAGUUUGCUUCUCAAUCAUGAAGUUUCAAGUUCAGUCCCUCUGCAUGGUACCUUGCACAAGUAUCUUCUCCUUUAUAAGUCCUGGACUGACCAAAGCCUUGUGAGUGGAUUUGAUAGACAGAAACUGAAAGAAACCUCUGUGUGUGUGUGUACCCUUGCUUAGACAUCAUAUGAUGAUUGUAAACAAGCAUCCUUGUCAUACAAGCAGUGGUGUUCAUUUCCAGUUUGCCUUGAAAACCUGUCUGGCCAUGGAGGAAAUUUAUUUGCUUGAAGACAGGUGAGGGCUGGCAACACAAAGGGCAUUUGGCCAUAGAGAAUCUGCUUUAACAAGUUCUCUCUAACCCAUGCAAGCCUGAACAAGUAAAUGUUAAAUGAUAUUGAUGAUAAUGAUAAUGAUUUGUAUAUAAUGUGCUGCUUUAGUCCUCACUGCAACCAGCAACAGGUACCGGAUCAAUCUGAUUAAGCCUCACACUGCAAUGGUCAAAGCUGGUCUCAGGAUGUCAAACCUCACAGGAAUGUGACAUAUGGUGAGAUGCUGUGUUAGAAGGAAGUCAUCCAACCUAUG